UACGUAGGGUGCAAGCGUUUGUCCGGAAUUAUUGGGCGUAAAGAGCUCGUAGGCGGUCUGUCGCGUCGAAUGUGAAAACCCGGGGCUCAACCCCGGGCCUGCAGUCGAUACGGGCAGGCUAGAGUUCGGUAGGGGAGAUCGGAAUUCCUGGUGUAGCGGUGAAAUGCGCAGAUAUCAGGAGGAACACCGGUGGCGAAGGCGGAUCUCUGGGCCGAUACUGACGCUGAGGAGCGAAAGCGUGGGGAGCGAACAGG
rnacentral:rRNA from 1 species